CCACGUCUUUGGGUCCCAUUUAUCCGAUAGCUCAGGGGGGAUUGGCACUUGAUACUCAACGGGGCCGGCUUCGCUUCUGAACACGACCUGCUUGAGCGUCCAAACAGCAAGAAGAGCUCCAAGCAGCGCAGUGAGCAAUUGGCUCGGUGUGCAGUCGCUAUACAGGUCGAAGAGGGACUGAAGUGUAUCCAUUGCCCUUCCGCGUAUUCCAACCAGGUGGAUGAGUUGCGGAAACCCAGACCGGAUGCACGUCUCGGGUUUUUCCCUGGGGUAAAAAUCCCUGUAUUAACGUUAUCUGGUUUAGCGUUACCGUGCGUCAGGAAGUUGGCUGCGAAUACUGUACAUACAUAAUAAAGG
rnacentral:sRNA from 1 species